UAUUUAUUUAUAUUCAAAGCGAUAGCAACGUUUAUGUGAAUAAACUCUUUGUGUUUUGCUUUUUUUUUUUUUUUUUCGACGAGGGUUAUUGCUUGACUGGAUGCCUGUAGUAUAGAUCCACUACUGCUGGCCACUUUUCCCUUUUUUUUCUUUCUUUUUUGACAGGACAGAUAAAGAAUUGAGAGGAGAAGAAAAUAUAAAUGAAGACGAAGAUACACCUGUAAAAUGGCUUCACCAUUUGUGAAGCUUCUCCUCUUCAAGUAGGGGCUGGAGGCUUGAUCCCUGACCCUUGCACAUGCCAAGGUGAGCAUUUAACUGUGUGCACCACCACCAGGCCCCAAAAUCUGUUUUAUGAAGAGUUGUAUCACUGGAACAAAAUAUACACAAAGUUGUAAGUUGUUGCACAGAAAAGUUAAGAAUGACUUGUAAGAUCAGUGUAGAUUAGACAAGUGAUUCUAAUAUGUUCAUCUGACAUUUUUUAAUUUUUUUAUUUAUAGGGGAGGGGCAUGUCCCCUCGUGACUAGAUGGCUCUGGGGCACAGUCAGGAAGUGUGACAUUCAGAAUAACUUCCUGGAGGGCCUGUUCCCUUCUCAGCACCACAUAAAAACAAGAGACCCCUCCUUUCUGCUUUGCACCUGUCAUGAGUGUCACCUUCCUUUGCUGCAUGUCCUUCUGUCUCCUGCAGGCAGGUCUGACGAAUGCUGGCAUCAAUCAGAACCCCAACAUCCUGCUCCUGAGGAAAGGACAGAACAUGACAUUGAAUUGUACCCAGGAUUUGAACCAUGAUGCUAUGUUCUGGUAUCGACAAGACCCAGGACAGGGACUGAGACUGAUCCAUUACUCCCCUGUUUAUGGUUCCACUGACAAAGGAGACGUCCCUGAAGGGUACAGUGUCUCUCGGUCAAAGAAGGAGAUCUUCUCCCUCACAGUGGAGUCUGCUACCCCUUCCCAGACAUCUGUGUACUUAUGUGCCAGCAGUUUAUCCACAGUGCUUCACCACCAUUUCCUCUCUGCACAAAAAGUGAGGUAUUGCAGUAAGACUUCUUGA